GUAUCAUGGUGUAGGGGUUAUCACAUCCGCAUAACACGCGGAAGGUCCCAGGUUCAAAACCUUGUGGGUACA
rnacentral:tRNA from 1 species